rnacentral:rRNA from 1 species
AGAACGAACGCUGGCGGCAGGCCUAACACAUGCAAGUCGAACGGAUGUAGCAAUACAUUAGUGGCGCACGGGAGAGUAACGCGUGGGAACCUACCUUUUGGUUUGGGAUAACGUCGGGAAACUGACGCUAAUACCAGAUAAGCCCUUCGGGGGAAAGAUUUAUCGCCAUUAGAUGGGCCCGCGUUAGAUUAGCUAGUUGGUGAGGUAAUGGCUCACCAAGGCGACGAUCUAUAGCUGGUUUGAGAGGAUGACCAGCCUCACUGGGACUGAGACACGGCCCAGACUCCUACGGGAGGCAGCAGUGGGGAAUAUUGGACAAUGGGGGAAACCCUGAUCCAGCCAUGCCGCGUGAAUGAUGAAGGCCUUCGGGUUGUAAAGUUCUUUUGGCGGGGACGAUGAUGACGGUACCCGCAGAAUAAGCCCCGGCUAACUUCGUGCCAGCAGCCGCGGUAAUACGAAGGGGGCUAGCGUUGUUCGGAAUUACUGGGCGUAAAGGGCGCGUAGGCGGUUUAAUAAGUUGGGCGUGAAAGCCCAGGGCUCAACCCUGGAACUGCGCUCAAGACUAUUUAACUUGAAUUCGGUAGAGGAUGGUGGAAUUCCCAGUGUAGAGGUGAAAUUCGUAGAUAUUGGGAAGAAUAUCCGUGGCGAAGGCGGCCAUCUGGACCGACAUUGACGCUGAGGCGCGAAAGCGUGGGGAUCAAACAGGAUUAGAUACCCUGGUAGUCCACGCCGUAAACGAUGCAUGCUAGACGUUGGAAACCUCAGGUUUCUUGUGUCGCAGCUAACGCACUAAGCAUGCCGCCUGGGGAGUACGGCCGCAAGGUUGAA